GUGCAGUUAGUAUAGUGGUAGUACGCUCGCUCCUUAGACACGACUGCUGGGGGCCCCCACGGAAGUCGUCCGAGUUGAGUAUCCCGGGUUCGACUCCCGGACUGCACA